GGAGAAACAAAGCAAAGACCAUCAUUUCUUAGCUCUCAGGUCGUCUCGCAGUAACUGAGGAGGCCACGUGGAUACGUAACUUCCACUCAUCAGAGGUUCAAAACCCUAAUAAUUCUUGCAGAACUGAUUCACUGCAAAUCUCCUAAUCAAGAACAGAAUGGCUUCUUUGGGAUUCUCUAACCUCAUCUCUGCUAUGGCAUCUUCACGGAAUUCAUUUCAAACCAAAAUAAGCCCUUCAUGGACCUCUUCUCCAACCAUGACUUUCCUUAACUUCUCUCUGAAAAACCCCUUGGGGCUUAAGUCUUCCUUUGUAAAUCAUGGCUUCUUCUUGCAAUCUUUGCAGUUUCCUGAUGCCAUCUUGAAGUCGCAGAGGACAGCAGGUAUUGUUUACGCAAGAGCAGCAACGGAAAAGAGUAUCCAUGAUUUCACUGUCAAGGAUAUUGAUGGGAAGGAUGUUUCUCUCAGCAAAUUCAAGGGAAAGGUUCUCUUGAUUGUCAAUGUGGCUUCAAAAUGCGGUCUGACAACAUCGAAUUACAUGGAACUCUCCCACCUCUAUGAGAAGUACAAAACUCAAGGAGUUGAGAUUCUGGCUUUUCCAUGCAAUCAGUUUGGGGGUCAAGAGCCUGGUUCAAAUACCGAAAUCAAGCAGUUUGCGUGUACAAGAUUUAAAGCAGAAUUCCCAAUUUUUGAUAAGGUUGAUGUGAACGGGCCAAGUACAGCCCCUGUCUAUCAGUUCCUGAAGUCAAGUGCAGGAGGUUUUCUGGGUGACCUGAUCAAGUGGAACUUUGAGAAGUUUUUGGUAGACAAAAAUGGUAAGGUUGUGGAAAGAUAUCCUCCAACGACAUCACCCUUCCAGAUUGAGAAAGACAUCCAAAAGCUUCUUGCGGCGUGAAUCUUCUACAUCAAACAUAUAUUACAGCAGAGUACUUGUGAAGCACAGAUACUAGAGGAUUAAUACAAGUGUACAGAAUAUUCAGUUUGUGCCGAAGAUACAUGUGGAACUUUUAUUCCCUCUUCUUCUAAAUGGCUGCUCUCAAACAUUGAAUAUAAGAUUAAAAUAGAUGUGGUUUUCUUCAGCCGCUGUUUCUCUCCCUUGAUCGAGGGAUCGGAUCGUGUGCAGAAGGUAUUGCGGAACAGUGGGCGCAUUAUUGACCUCAUAUAAUAAAGGGGCAAAGUAUUUAUGAUCCUAGAUAGUUGUACUUUUCCUUCACCGAUGGUGUAGUUGUAACUCCAUGAGGAAUGCUUUCUAUGCAUACAGUAGUAGGAAGCUUCCACGUCCUAGACUAGAUUGCCAAAAUUAAUUGGGAUUUGUUGUUUAGCUUGGCAACAUAGACACGGGUUGCCACAUUUCUACCUGUAUUUAUUUUGAGGGAAGCCUCAAAAUAGUUCUUCGAACCACUAAAUGGGGUAUGCUAGUACCUUUUGUAUUUAUCUCUCUACUUGUUACAUGAAAUCUUUGCUAUCUUCCAAUGUAUUAUAUCAUUUUGUUGCA